UACCGAGGUCCCAAGCGUUGUUCGGAUUCACUGGGCGUAAAGGGGGCGUAGGUGGUUCGGUAAGUCCGAUGUGAAAUCUCCAGGCUCAACCUGGAAAUGGCAUUGGAUACUAUCUAGCUUGAGGAGUGGAGGGGGGACUGGAAUUCUCGGUGUAGCAGUGAAAUGCGUAGAUAUCGAGAGGAACACCAGUGGCGAAGGCGAGUCCCUGGACACUUCCUGACACUGAGGCACGAAAGCUAGGGGAGCAAACAGG
rnacentral:rRNA from 1 species